AUAGAAGUCAGUGGAGAAAUCAGCCACAAAGAUAGCAGCAAACACAGACAUCUUUGCUUUCCCCAACUCAAAGUUUUCAGUUAGACCCACCGAAUGUCAAGGUAGAGGGUCCAGGAGAGAGUGUAAAAGCGACUGUAUUUACCUGAACAUAUGUUGACCAAUUACCCCAGAGGACUCUGGAUUUAAGAUGACCUGCUGAUUUCUAACAAAGAACUUGGGAAAAAAACUUCUCGUGGAUUAAGGUAAAUAUGGUCCAUUUAUUUAUCCUAUUGAUAUACCAGCUGAUCUCGAUCUCUCUCUCUGUUCUGGGGCAUCUCACUAGCUACUGCUAAAAAAUAUGCUGAAGUGAACAGCAAAUGUAUUCACAAUAUUGAAAAAUGUUUAGUGUAUUACCAAAAUAAUGUGUUUAUCCACUGGCAGCAGAGGGAGGAGGAUGAAGAAAGAAAAGGAACAAACCAAGAAUGCAAAUGUCUGCAAAACCUUUCUAGUUGCAGGUUGGGGCAGGGAGAGGGACCGAUCCCAUCUUAGCUCACUCCAAAGAUGAGCUAGUUCCAAGGCAGUGCUAAUUUGCACAGAUAUUUUAUUUUUUAAUAUAUUUUUAACUAACAUUUUUUAUACCACCCAAACCUCACGUCUCUGAUGCAGUUUUGCUACUGUUAUAUCAAGUAGGGUUCAUACCAGAGAGAAGAAUGAUGCCCUUACUGCUUUGCAUGCAGAAGGCUCCAGGUUUAGCCAGCCAGUGGGGACAAUACUAAGCUAGAGGGACUGAAGUUCUAACUCUAAGGCAACUCUCUAUAAGGGGUUAUGUUCCUAUAACCUUCCCUCUUCCACCCUUGGUCUCUCCCAGAAGCUUCCAUGAUGCCUCCCCUCCCUACUGCGUGGUGUAGUGGUUAGAGUGCUGGACUAGGACCGGGGAGACCAGAGUUCAAAUCCCCAUUCAGCCAGGAAACUAGCUGGGUGACUCAGGGCCAGCCACUUCUUUCUCAGCCUAACCUACUUCACAGGGUUGUUGUGAAAGAGAAACUCAAGUAUGUAGUACACCGCUCUGGGCUCCUUGGAGGAAAAGCAGGAUAUAAACGUAAAAAUAAUAAUACUAACUUCCCACCCCUUUCCCAACAAGCCAUGAACACGUCCAGGGCCCCACCCCACCCCCAAAUUAUGUAUCUGCAGUGUUUCUUCCCAUUCACCCAUGCCUCCCAUAUCCUUUUGCUGUGAUCUCCCUGUGUGCAUGUUUCUGGUUUGCAAGUCUUGAUCAGGAACCGGUCUUCUCUUUAAUGUGUGCUUGAAUUAUAUGAUAUAUAAACAAGAGACUGCAGGCACACUGGUGCCAAAGCUACAUGCAGAAUUAAGUGUCUUGUGAUUUGGGGCUGGGGCUGGAGAGCUUUGCAUGCAAGAGGUCCCAGGCUGAGUUUCUGGCAGCCUCUCCAGGAAGGGCUUGGAGAGACAGUGGAGCCUCUUCAGCGUAGACAAUAUGGAGGCAGGCAGAGAGACCAAGGGUCUGAGUCAAUAUAGGCAGUUUCCCACGUUUGUAUCUUAGCAUGGCCCAACACAAGCCCUCAUCAGCUGCUCUCCCCACAUCCAGAAUGCCAUUUUCACCCCAGGGGUUCUCAAACCUGUGUCCCCAGAGGUUAGAGGAAUACAGCUCCCAUCAUCCUCCGCCACAAUGGCCUGGCAGCAACUUCUGGUGGCAAAGUUCUGAGGCCCAGGCUUAUGAGCCUAGGUACCAGUUCUCCUCCCACCCACCCCACAACAUUUAAGAGCCAACACCGGUCGAGAUCUAUUUGUGUGCAUCUUUAUUGAUCUGUUCUUUAGUCAGUGUACAGUUUCGCCCCCACUGUAUCCCACUUACAUACUGGCACCAAUUUCUGUAAAGACGACUCCCCUAUGGGAGGGGAAGGAGUGGGGUAGACUGUAAGCCUUCACAUAUAGAUUGGGAAGAAGAGAAACCUCCAUAGCCCAUUUUUGUUGUUGUUUUUGCCUGACAAAAAUCAAAGAGGACCAAGUGUGUUUUGUUUUAAGGCGCAAGAUACAGAAAGACACUUGUUGGGUUUACAUGAUUUACAUACAAGCAAUACUUUUCUAAGAACAGACGGGUAUUUCUGUUCUGCAGAGCAGGGCUGCUGCCUCCCCAAGAGACCGGUUUGACUUCCUCUCAAUGCAUUAUACAAUAUUUGGAAUGACUAUUUUAAAAAAACACAAAUGUACAAUCAAAGUCCUCAGAUGCAUUGUAGAACUUUGGGGGACGUUCGCUCCAAAACACUUUAUUAUUUUUUUAUUUUAUUUUAUUUAUUUUGAGACUGCUGCUGUCAAAAACUUUUUCACCAUUCCAGUUUUUAGAUCCUGAGUCAAGCGCCAAAGAAAACAAAUAAAA